rnacentral:rRNA from 1 species
GAUGAACGCUGGCGGCGUGCCUAAUACAUGCAAGUCGAGCGAACAGACGAGGAGCUUGCUCCUCUGACGUUAGCGGCGGACGGGUGAGUAACACGUGGAUAACCUACCUAUAAGACUGGGAUAACUUCGGGAAACCGGAGCUAAUACCGGAUAAUAUAUUGAACCGCAUGGUUCAAUAGUGAAAGACGGUUUUGCUGUCACUUAUAGAUGGAUCCGCGCCGCAUUAGCUAGUUGGUAAGGUAACGGCUUACCAAGGCAACGAUGAGUAGCCGACCUGAGAGGGUGAGCGGCCACACUGGAACUGAGACACGGUCCAGACCCCUACGGGAGGCAGCAGUAGGGAAUCUUCCGCAAUGGGCGAAAGCCUGACGGAGCAACGCCGCGUGAGUGAUGAAGGUCUUCGGAUCGUAAAUCUCUGUUAUUAGGGAAGAACAAAUGUGUAAGUAACUAUGCACGUCUUGACGGUACCUAAUCAGAAAGCCACGGCUAACUACGUG